CCCUACGGGGCGCAGCAGUGAGGAAUAUUGGUCAAUGGGCGAGAGCCUGAACCAGCCAAGUCGCGUGAGGGAGUACUGCCCUAUGGGUUGUAAACCUCUUUUGUCGGGGAGCAAAAGCCGGACGUGUCCGGCUGUGAGAGUACCCGAAGAAAAAGCAUCGGCUAACUCCGUGCCAGCAGCCGCGGUAAUACGGAGGAUGCGAACGUUAUCCGGAUUUAUUGGGUUUAAAGGGUGCGUAGGCGGACUGUUAAGUCAGCGGUAAAAGCCCGGGGCUCAACCCCGGCGAGCCGUUGAAACUGGCUGUC
rnacentral:rRNA from 1 species